GACGAACGCUGGCGGCGUGCUUAACACAUGCAAGUCGUACGGUAAGGCCCUUUCGGGGGUCCACGAGUGGCGAACGGGUGAGUAACACGUGAGUAACCUGCCCACAACUUUGGGAUAACGCUAGGAAACUGGUGCUAAUACUGGAUAUGUGCUCCUGCUGCAUGGUGGGGGUUGGAAAGCUCCGGCGGUUGUGGAUGGACUCGCGGCCUAUCAGCUUGUUGGUGGGGUAGUGGCCUACCAAGGCGGCGACGGGUAGCCGGCCUGAGAGGGUGACCGGCCACAUUGGGACUGAGAUACGGCCCAGACUCCUACGGGAGGCAACAGUGGGGAAUAUUGCACAAUGGGCGCAAGCCUGAUGCAGCAACGCCGCGUGCGGGAUGACGGCCUUCGGGUUGUAAACCGCUUUCAGCAGGGACGAAGCUUUUUGUGACGGUACCUGCAGAAGAAGCACCGGCUAACUACGUG
rnacentral:rRNA from 1 species